AAUUGGUAGACACGCAGCCUUGAGGGGGCUGUAGCGUAAGCUGUGAGAGUUCGAGUCUCUCCUUCGGCACCA
rnacentral:tRNA from 1 species